GUCCCCCACUGGUCUUCUGAGCAGACUUGACGCAGUUUCAUCUCAUUCCUGAGGUAUCCUGAGCCCUUCAGUGCCAUACUUCUGCGUGAGUGCUGUGAACUGGAGCAAAUGGGUUGAAAAUGGCCAGAAGUUGCUCUUGGUCUCUUUAGAUCUUUUAUGACAAAGAAAAAAAUUGAAUUUCUGACCAGUUAAAAUCCAUUUGAGCCAGUUUAAGCUAAUUAUGCAGAACUGGAGCCUGAGGUCGGUAAAUCCAGGAAGAUGGCUGAAUACUAUGCUGACUCAAGUACAGACAAGGAGCCAGAUGAGAAAACCAACGCUCCAAGAGCUUCUGUGACUUGUCCAAGACCAUGCAGUUAGUGCACAGUGAGGCACAGAAUCAGUUGUAGAAGCACUUCAGGGAAUUCGGAUACUAUUUUGUGGCCUGGCAAGAUUAGCAGCCUUACUAUCUUAGUCCCUGCCAGUCAUCAGCUUCUGGUUUCCCUGUUAUCCUGCUGCUCCCUAGAAUGCAGCUAUUAAGUGGCCUAAGAGCCAGCACCUUCACGGAGUAGCAAAGAGGAAAGUCCAUUUGAGGACAGAGUGAGAAGACGAUGGUUAUCCACAAGCCAGAAAAAGAAGCCUCACCAGAAAUCCUGAUACCCUGAGUUUGGGUUUUCAAGCCCCUACAACUUCGAGACAAUGAAUAUCUUCUUUACAGUCUAUAAUAUCUUGUUUGGUAGACCAAGGAGACUAAUCUAUUACUUAAUAUUGGGAACAUUACUUAGAAGCUAAUGAUCUUCGAAAAUGGUAAAGUUAUUUAUGUUUGCUAUUUUCAUUCUUCCUUUCCUCUGUUGAGCCAUUUAAAACAAUGAUACUGGCACUCAUUUCUCUUUACCUUUCAGUAUUUGAUUUCUAACAGAUGGCUAAGGUCUGACAAACACUGUUUUGAUAAUACACUACAGAGCGUUAGAGACAGACCCAGAUUUCCAUCCAAAGAGAGUAUUCUAAGCUUGGGUGGUGGCAAUGGAGCACUCUGACCUGUGAAGCACCAUUCUUUGAAGGCUUCUUUUGUGAUCCUCACAGUUUGGAACUGAGUUACAGACUAGAUCAUAUCUCCUCAUUCUCUCCAUUUGAUCUUUCUUCCCUCAUUAAUUCCAAAGUAUGCAAGCUAUAUGCUUUCUAGUGUUUUUCCCCCUUCACAGCCAUUGUCUAGGCACCAAAAAUAGAGAUGGAAAGAGACAGGUUUAAUCCAAAGCACCAGUUUCCAUUACCUUAAGCUUCCUCAAUGAUUUUUCUGAUGAGAUGAAAUUUCUUAUACUUGGUCUCAGGCCCAAGGUAUAUGCAAUACGUCAAUGAAAUUGAUUGCGACACAUUGAAGUGAGUGCCUGGGAACUAUGAGUUCCUUAACU
rnacentral:lncRNA from 1 species